GGGCUUCGCAGGCGGUUUCUUCAGUCUGAAGGUGAAAGCCCCCGGCUCAACCGGGGAGGGUCAUUGGAAACUGGGGAACUUGAGUGCAGAAGAGGAGAGUGGAAUUCCACGUGUAGCGGUGAAAUGCGUAGAGAUGUGGAGGAACACCAGUGGCGAAGGCGACUCUCUGGUCUGUAACUGACGCUGAGGAGCGAAAGCGUGGGGAGCGAACAGGAUUAGAUACCCUGGUAGUCCACGCCGUAAACGAUGAGUGCUAAGUGUUAGGGGGUUUCCGCCCCUUAGUGCUGCAGCUAACGCAUUAAGCACUCCGCCUGGGGAGUACGGUCGCAAGACUGAAACUCAAAGGAAUUGACGGGGGCCCGCACAAGCGGUGGAGCAUGUGGUUUAAUUCGAAGCAACGCGAAGAACCUUACCAGGUCUUGACAUCCUCUGACAAUCCUAGAGAUAGGACGUCCCCUUCGGGGGCAGAGUGACAGGUGGUGCAUGGUUGUCGUCAGCUCGUGUCGUGAGAUGUUGGGUUAAGUCCCGCAACGAGCGCAACCCUUGAUCUUAGUUGCCAGCAUUCAGUUGGGCACUCUAAGGUGACUGCCGGUGACAAACCGGAGGAAGGUGGGGAUGACGUCAAAUCAUCAUGCCCCUUAUGACCUGGGCUACACACGUGCUACAAUGGACAGAACAAAGGGCAGCGAAACCGCGAGGUUAAGCCAAUCCCACAAAUCUGUUCUCAGUUCGGAUCGCAGUCUGCAACUCGACUGCGUGAAGCUGGAAUCGCUAGUAAUCGCGGAUCAGCAUGCCGCGGUGAAUACGUUCC
rnacentral:rRNA from 1 species